GUGGCGCACGGGUGAGUAACGCGUGGGUAAUCUUCCCCCGAAUUGGGGAUAACAUUGCGAGAGCGAUGCUAAUACCGGAGUAAUAUCUUAAACCCCUCGGUGUUUAAGAUCAAAGGUGGCCUCUACAUGUAAGCUACUGUUUGGGGAUGAGCCCGCGUACCAUUAGCUUGUUGGUAGGGUAACGGCCUACCAAGGCUGCGAUGGUUAGCUGGUCUGAGAGGAUGAUCAGCCACACUGGAACUGACACACGGUCCAGACUCCUACGGGAGGCAGCAGUGAGGAAUUUUGCGCAAUGGGGGAAACCCUGACGCAGCAACGCCGCGUGAGUGAUGAAGGCUUUCGGGUCGUAAAGCUCUGUCAAGUGGGAAGAACCCACGUGGUGCUAAUAUCACCAUGUGCUGACGGUACCACUGAAGGAAGCACCGGCUAACUCCGUGCCAGCAGCCGCGGUAAUACGGGGGGUGCAAGCGUUAUUCGGAAUUACUGGGCGUAAAGAGCGCGUAGGCGGUCUCUUAAGUCAGGUGUGAAAGCCCGGGGCUCAACCCCGGAAGUGCACUUGAAACUAAGGGACUUGAGUAUGGG
rnacentral:rRNA from 1 species